rnacentral:lncRNA from 1 species
AUCUGUUGCUGUGGAGAGUCCUAAUUUACUUGGUGUUCUCUAGGUCAGUCCACCUACACACGGCUUCCUGGCGCUGGAGUAAUUUUAACUUGAUUGAAGACUUGCUGGUGGGUCCUGGCGGGGUGUACAGAGGGAGAGUUCUGUCAGAAGCAAAGAUCCACAAGGACAGGCUGUACAGUGAGGACUCCAGGGGUAUGAAGAGACCAGUGAGUUGGCAAAAGGGAAAUGGCGGCGGAUGGACGCCAGGGCAGAACAGGUCAGCUCUCCUCUCUGCUCUGAAUGUCAAUUCCACCCUCCUCUGAAAGGUACAAUCGACCCUUUCUGUCAUCACUCAUUGAUCGUCUUUUGCAAAGGCCCCAGGGUCACGAUAGAUAUGGGAGUGAAGGUUCUGGACCACAGAGGAGAAGUUAACUGUGACUGGAGAGCCAAGGAGGGCUUGAUGGACAAGGAACCAUCUGGAUUGGGUCUUGAAGGGUGAGUAGAAGUUUUCAAAGCAUGAAUUUCGGGCACAGAAGGGAAAAGCAUUUUUGGAAUAGGGAAUAACAUGUGCAAAGGCCACAGGUCAGAGAAAAGGGGAUUAGGAAUCUGUGAGAGGUUACGUCCAGUGUGGGAAGGGAUGCUUGGGCUGGUCUGGGAGGAAGAAAGCUGAGGGCUGAAUAAGGCCCCCACAUGCCAGGGCGAGGAGUCAGUAUUGCAAGCUGUUAAUAACAUAGAUUUUAAACCAGAGGAGUUACCUGAAUUUCUCUCCUCUUCUCCCCAACUUUACUAAAACAAAGUCACGUGAGGUUAUGUGUUCGAAGGAUGACAUGUUUAUCUGGGGGUAGAAGCAAGAGGCAGACCAUUAUUCAGUCCGUGAGGGCACCUGUACACCUUUAAAUGGCACAUAAGCAGUGCAACAGCUCCAGCCCCUGCUUGCUGCCCAGGGCAAACUGCCCCUGUCCGCAGCGGCACUAUUUCAUUGAGCAGAGAAAUCUCAAAACCCCUGCCAACUCUGCAAAAGUUAAACAUAGAGUUACCAUACGUAAUUCCACUCCUAGCUGUAUGCCCCAAAGAAUUGAAAACCGGGACUAAAACAAAUAUUCUUACACAGAUGCUUAUAGAGCACUGUUCAUGACAGCCACAAGGUGCAAAUAACCCAAAUGUCCAUCAACAGAUGAAUGGGUCUAUAAAACGUGGUGCAGCCAUACAAUGGAAUAUUAUUUGGCCAUAUAAAGGAACAAAGCACUGACACAUGCUACAGCAUGGAUGAACCCUGGAAACAUUACAUUGACUGAAAAAAGGCCAACCACAAAAGGCUACAUUUUGUAUGAUCACAUUUAUAUGAAAGCUCCAGAAAGCAAAUUGGUGGUUGCUAGGGGCUGAGGGUUGGGGGGAAUGGGGAGUGACUACUAAUAGGUACGGGGUUUUAUUUUGGGGUGAUGAAAAUGUUUUGGAAUUAGAGAGGUGAUGGUUGCACAAUGUUGUGAAUAUAAUCAAUGCCAUUGAAUUGUGCACUUCAAAGUGCUUAAUUUUAUGUUAUGUGAAUUCCACAGCAAUAAACAAAAAAUC